rnacentral:rRNA from 1 species
GAUGAACGCUGGCGGCGUGCCUAAUACAUGCAAGUCGAGCGAGCGGACGAGAAGCUUGCUUUUCUGAUGUUAGCGGCGGACGGGUGAGUAACACGUGGAUAACCUACCUAUAAGACUGGGAUAACUUCGGGAAACCGGAGCUAGUACCGGAUAAUAUUUUGAACCGCAUGGUUCAAAAGUGAAAGACGGUCUUGCUGUCACUUAUAGAUGGAUCCGCGCUGCAUUAGCUAGUUGGUAAGGUAACGGCUUACCAAGGCAACGAUGCAUAGCCGACCUGAGAGGGUGAUCGGCCACACUGGAACUGAGACACGGUCCAGACUCCUACGGGAGGCAGCAGUAGGGAAUCUUCCGCAAUGGGCGAAAGCCUGACGGAGCAACGCCGCGUGAGUGAUGAAGGUCUUCGGAUCGUAAAACUCUGUUAUUAGGGAAGAACAUAUGUGUAAGUAACUGUGCACAUCUUGACGGUACCUAAUCAGAAAGCCACGGCUAACUACGUG